rnacentral:rRNA from 1 species
UACGAAGGGGGCUAGCGUUGCUCGGAAUCACUGGGCGUAAAGCGCACGUAGGCGGGUUCUUAAGUCAGGGGUGAAAUCCUGGAGCUCAACUCCGGAACUGCCUUUGAUACUGGGAAUCUCGAGUCCGGGAGAGGGAUGUGGAAUUCCAGGUGUAGCGGUGAAAUGCGUAGAUAUCUGGAGGAACACCGGUGGCGAAGGCGGCAUCCUGGACCGACAUUGACGCUGAGGCGCGAAAGCCGGGGGAGCAAACGGG